ensembl:lncRNA
CUCACUUGUUAAUAUUACUAUAGCUGCUUUCAGGCUACAACAGCAGGAUGGAGUAGUUGCAACGGAAACCAUAUUCCCACAAAGCCUCAAAUAUUUACUCGCUGGCAUCUUACAGAACAACUGUGCUCUUGUCUAUCCACUUUCCAAGGCACAGACUGGAUUGAAUGUCGAAGGCACAUAGAACAUUUCCAGCCAGAGUAUUGGUCACAAAGGCCAAAGAACUGUAUCAGGUAGUUGUGAUGUUUUUACUUUUAGUGCAACCCAUGCAACUUUUAGACAGUUCCAUGCAAGUUACCAGAACCCCAUUUAGGCACUGAGGUCUCUCUACUUUUUUACCUCAGGGUUUACAGUCAGCGGAUAAUUCUCUAAUCUCCCCAUCCUUUGGUGGGCUCAUUAUAGAAGUACUCCAGCCUGGGCUGGUGCAGUGGCCGGAUCUCAGCUCACUGCAAGCUCCGCCUUCAGGGCUUACGCCAUUCUCCUGCCUCAGCCUCCCAGGUAGCUGGGACUACAGGCGCCCGCCACCUCGCCUGGCUAGUUUUUUGUAUUUUUAGUAGAGACGGGGUUUCACCGUGUUAGCCAGGAUGGUCUCGAUCUCCUGACCUCGUGAUCCGCCCGUCUCGGCCUCCCAAAGUGCUGGGAUUACAGGCUUGAGCCACCGUGCCCAGCCCGAAUUCUACAUUUAUUUAAAACCCUACAAGACAUUAUAAUUGUUGUCUUACACAGCCAAUAUUCCUUAGCCUUAUCCAAAUAUCUACCAUUUCAUUGGUUUUCUUUUCUUCCCAAAUCUCCAAUCUUUCUUCUAGAAUCAUUUCCCUCUAUCUGAAGGGAUGAGACCUGUUUAGUUUUUCCUUCAGUGUGGUCUUCUGAAAGCAAAUUAUUUUGUUUUUGUUUCCCUAAAAAUGUGUUUAUUUAAACUUCAUUCUUGGCUGGGCAUGGUGGUUCAUGCCUGCAAUCCAGCACUUUGGGAGGCUGAGGCGAGUGGAUCGCUUGAGCCCAGGAGUUUGCGACCAGCCUGGGAAACAUGGUGAAACCCUGUUUCUACAAAAAAAUACAAAAAUUAGCCGGGCAUUGUGGCAGGUGACUGUAGUCCCAGCUACUCAGGAGGCUGAGAUUACAGGUGUGAGGCACCGUGCCUGGCCUAAGAGGGAAAUUUAUAGCUAUAAAUGAUUACUUUAAAAAGAGAAAGAUUGGCUGGGUGCGGUGGCUCAAGCCUGUAAUCCUAGCACUUUGGGAGGCCGAGACGGGCGGAUCACGAGGUCAGGAGAUCGAGACCAUCCUGGUUAAUACGGUGAAACCCCGUCUCUACUAAAAAGUACAAAAAACUAGCCGGGCGAGGUGGCGGGCGCCUGUAGUCCCAGCUACUUGGGAGGCUGAGGCAGGAGAAUGGCGUGAACCCGGGAGGCGGAGCUUGCAGUGAGCUGAGAUCUGGCCACUGCACUCCAGCCUGGGCGACAGAGCGAGACUCUGUCUCAAAAAAAAAAAAAGAGAGAAAGAUCUCAAAUCAACAACCUAACUUUAUACCUUAAGGGACUAGAAAAAGCACAAAUUAAACCCAAAGCUGUCAGAAGGAAGGAAAUAAUAGUCAAACAGACAAAUAAUACAAGAAACAGAAAACCUAUAGAAAAACACUGAAGACAAAAGGCAAAUAUUGUAUCAUUUCACUUAUGUGAGGUACGUAGAAUAGGCAGUCAUAGAUUCAGAAAGUAGGAUGUGGUUACCAGUGGCUGUUGUGAAGGGAGAAUAGGGAGUUAUUGUUUAAUGGGUGCAGAGUUUCAAUUUUUAAAAAUUCUAGAGGUGGUUAGUGGUGAUAGUUGCAAAACAGUGUUAAUACACUUAAUGCCACUGAGUUGUACACUUAAAAAUGUUAAUACAUUUUAUGCCAUGUAUAUUUUAUCACAAUUUAAAAGAUCAUUCAUCAGGAUCAAACAAUAGUCUUCAGUUUUGCUUCAUGCUUUCAGAUAAGAAUUUAGGGAACUGAUUUUGUCGUUAUGUUCUAAGUUAUACAUUUGGAAGAAAUGACGCUAUGCUGGGUUGUUUAUAUUCCUCAUAUCUCUCAUAAUAAUCUAUGGCAGAUGAUAUGUGUUCUCCUAGAAUCUUGGCCUCAACUGGACACUUAAUUUUAUUUCACUAGAAGCAAGACCUUAACUCUUUUUUAUUUACUUUUAACUUUUUCGCUGCUCUGAAG